rnacentral:lncRNA from 1 species
AUGGGCAGUUUGGGUUGCGGAUGCAAGGGGAGGCGAUGGGGAGAUGGGGUGASGGUAGCUCGUUACUUUAGCUUGUGGGGGGUUGCCCCCGCUCGCCCGGUGUUGCCUGCUGGUGCGGACAUGCUCUCAGAUCGGACACAGUGGUGGGUCAGAGCUAAGAGUCUCCCAGCCCUGCUCCUCACGGCAGCAAGAGGCAGGGAGGGUGGCUGCACUGCUGCUGAGCCAGCGAGAGAGGUAAGAGACAGCAGGACACACAUGAAUAUCAUCCUCGUGGGAGGACUUGGCGCCCAGCCUUCCAUGUGCCAUCCGCAUGGAUGCUCCAGGUGGGGCAAAUCUCAUGCUUCACGCUCUGUCCUGCUUCCCUACGGGAAGGGUGAAACUGAGCCUGGUGUGGGGGCUCAGAGCUAUGCCCAAGAUGCCACCUUGGGGGUGCUGGGGUCCCGGGCUGGCUGCAGGCACCCAAAAUAUGCUGGGAGAGCUCACAGGGCAGCUGAGACUCAGAGAGGUGACACAGGAGGACCAGCACUGCCUGUGGGCUGGGACAAGYGCUCACCAGAUGCAGCACGUAAUUCCCUGUGGCAGGACACUGCGUCCCUGGGUCCAGGCACCGGUGAGGGAGGGAGGAGGGCAGACAGCCUGGAUCCCUCUGUCCCAGUGCUGCACCUGGAAGGGGGCACUGCUGGUUCAAGUCCCAGCAAUGUGGUGGCUGUGAAGGGAGAAAAAGCCUCUCUCCAAGGCACUGGAGGGCUUUUCUGGGAAGAGUUUGCAGGUUUUAGACCUGGGUCUCAUCUCAGUGGCUUUGUGGGAUGGCACCUGGCUUAUGUGGCUCUUAGGGACAGCAGACUCACCCUCCUGGUUAAAAGAGCCCCYUCUCCUGUCAUGUCAUGGCACAGAAGAUGCUCAGCUGCGUUGGGUUCACCAGGUGCAGGCAGGUCUUUGGGACCGCCCAUCCCUCUCUCAUCCCUUACUGGCAGCACAGUGGCCCCUAGGUUGCCCCUGUCCCCCAGGCUGGAAAGAGCCUAUGUCUUUCCUAGCCUGUACCAACAUCACUGCUGCUCCAGGGAUCCAGAGCAAAAAUGCUCUGUGAGCUGA